CGGGUAAUGCCGGGAACUAUAGAGAAACUGUUAGUGAUAAACUAAAGGAAGAUGGGGAUGAGGUCAGGUCAUCACGACCCUUAUGGGUUGGGCCACACAUAUGUUACAAUGGGAGUUACAAAGGGGUGCAAUGGAGUGAUCCGGAGCAAAUCCUCAAAGGCUCUCUCAGUUCGGAUUGCAGACUGCAACUCGUCUGCAUGAAGUUGGAAUCGCUAGUAAUCGUAGAUCAGCAUGCUACGGUGAAUACGUUCUCGGGUCUUGUACACACCGCCCGUCAAGCUAUGGAAGUUCUUUUUACCCGAAUUACAUGAGUUAACCGCAAGGAGACAGUGUAACACGGUAGUGGGAAUGACUGGAGUUAAGUCGUAACAAGGUAGCCGUAGGAGAACCUGCGGCUGGAUUACCUCCUUU
rnacentral:rRNA from 1 species